AAUAAAUGGAAAUCUGUUCUCAGCGCAAAC
rnacentral:sRNA from 1 species